rnacentral:rRNA from 1 species
CAAUAGCGUAUAUUAACGUUGUUGCAGUUAAAAAGCUCGUAGUUGAAUUUCUGGUGGGCGCGCCGGUCUUCCAAGUGUUGUACUGGGCGCAGUCCGCCAUCCUUGUGGAGAGGGCUCGCAUUGAGUUGCGUGUCGGAUCUGCAUCAUUUACUGUGAAAAAAUUAGAGUGUUUAAAGCAGGCUGUCGCUUGAAUACAUUAGCAUGGAAUAAUAAGAUAGGACUUCGGUCUAUUUUGUUGGUUGCGAACCGAGGUAAUGAUUAAUAGGGAUAGUUGGGGGUAUUCAUAUUUAAUUGUCAGAGGUGAAAUUCUUGGAUUUAUGAAAGAUGAACAACUGCGAAAGCAUUUACCAAGGAUGUUUUCAUUAA